rnacentral:lncRNA from 1 species
AUGGCAUUCCCUCCUUUUGUAUUACCUGGAAGAAACAAAUUAUAUUGUCCCAGCCACCAGCAAACUGUUACAGAACCAUUAAGGUUACACACUUUGCCACAUGAAAGUUUUUGGGACAAAUCCCAUGAUUUUGGACACCUGCGGCCACAGUUUAAGGGAGGGAGUCAAGCAAUGCCAAGAGCCUGCAGACCUGUCUUCCCAAGUGGCCAACUUAUAAAAGCUGUGGGGCUUCCUCUUCCAUUUCCCUCCCCUCACAUGGAUUCUUUUCCAGGAAAUGCUGUUCCACAGAGCCCAGAGCGACAUCAAAGUGUGGAGUCUCCAGGGAGAGGGGAAGGUUACGACCCACAACUCUGUCUUUUGGGGGAUGUCAUUUACCCACCUCAAUUUAAGCCACUUUAG